AUCGGUCAGUAGCGCAGAGCCUGAAAUUUUCUUGGUAUGAAACAUUAUCUGUCAGUUGCUGUUCUCUGCUUUCUUCUAAUAGAGCUCGAAAUGGGGCACCCAGUCGAGAAAACCCCACAUCAGCUGCAACAAGAUAGAAACAAACACCCGAACGUAUCGGUAGAAGAGAGAUCAGCCCGGCGAUACGACUGCCAAGAAAAAAGGGGAAGGUGCAAGGAAAAUGGAUGCGGACUCAGGAGUCCUCUAGAUGGCACUUGCCCUGAGAAUAGAAUUUGCUGUACUUAUACCCCAGACCCAAGCCACUUCCUAAAUCCCAGGAAACUAUGAUUAAAACCAUUUUUUGUUUCGUUUCGUGUUGUCAAAUAAAGAGAAGUAUAUGUCUGGCAAA